AUUGAACGCUGGCGGAAUGCUUUACACAUGCAAGUCGAACGGCAGCACGGACUUCGGUCUGGUGGCAAGUGGCGAACGAGUGAGUAAUGUAUCGGAACGUGCCCAGUCGUGGGGGAUAACGUAGUGAAAAUUACGCUAAUACCGCAUACGAUCUAUGGAUGAAAGCGGGGGAUCGCAAGACCUCGCGCGAUUGGAGCGGCCGAUAUCAGAUUAGGUAGUUGGUGGGGUAAAGGCCCACCAAGCCAACGAUCUGUAGCUGGUCUGAGAGGACGACCAGCCACACUGGAACUGAGACACGGUCCAGACUCCUACGGGAGGCAGCAGUGGGGAAUUUUGGACAAUGGGCGAAAGCCUGAUCCAGCCAUUCCGCGUGCAGGAUGAAGGCCCUCGGGUUGUAAACUGCUUUUGUACAGAACGAAAAGGUUUCUACUAAUACUAGGAGCUCAUGACGGUACUGUAAGAAUAAGCACCGGCUAACUACGUGCCAGCCGCCGCAGUAA
rnacentral:rRNA from 1 species